rnacentral:lncRNA from 1 species
GAACUCACUAAAAUAACCAGAGGACUUCACAGAAGGGGGAAGAUGCCUCUUCCUUCAGCGACCACAAGGCCCCCAUUAUUGCAUCUGUUGGAGUAGAUCCUUCCUGAUAUGAAAGGGCCAGCUGUUCUUGCCUCCAUGCCUAUAGCAUCUAAAAGAGCAGAACUCCCAGGAAGUACACAAGAUCGAUCCCACCUCCAUUCAGAUGAAAAGACAGAGCACCUACCGGC